GGGUCAGUAGGCUGGUCGUGCCACAGGUACGCACUGGUCUCACUGAUUCCUCCUUCCUGAUGAACCGUAAUGCCAUUAAUUUGGUGUUGCGGGGAGACUGGACUGUUACUUUGAAAAAAUUAGAGUGUUUAAAGCAGGCAAUCUCGCUUGAAUACAUUAGCAUGGAAUAAUAGAAUAGGA
rnacentral:rRNA from 1 species